UCAGUGCUAGCUUGCCAGUCAUUUUUCUAGUUAAAGCCAUUGAACUACAUAACCCAAUUUAUUAAUUUAAGAAUAUUUUGUAGAAGAUUGAUUUAAAAAGUGCCAUCAGUCUGUUCACUAUAGAAAACCUAUUUCAUAUACUUUUUGUGAAAAGGAGGGAUUCAAUUAGAGACCCUUGGAGGCCUACCCUACGUGCUGUACUGAAAGACAAAGACUUUAAGACAUGAGCUCUUUGGUUUUCAAUCUUUGCUAUUUGACCAUGGCUAAAUUAUUUUCUUUUGGACAGACCCUCGUCAAAAUAAAUUCCAGGAGGAUGUCAUAAAAUGUGUUGAAUUGUAGUACGUAUGAACACCAGACACAGAGAACGAACAAGAGGAAGAUACAAGGGAGUUUUCCAUUGAAAAUGUCUGCACUCGCCAUGAUUUUACUUCUCAGAUUUACCGCAUUCAUUUCUAUAAUCAACAUGGCAGAUGUUGUGACUGAUCAGAGUGAUUUUGUGUUCGGUGCUAACGGUUCCAGUGUCACCAUUUGUAGCCACCUACAGACAUCAGUUUACAGUACUACUAUUCUCUGGUACCACGAGAACCUCGAGGGAGACAUUAAUUUGGUCUGUAUUUUUACCGAGUCUGGACUGCAUCAAGACCGUUUCGUGGGAACACUGCCAGACGCCUCUGGUAAAACUUCACUGACUCUCAGGAAACCCACAAUGUCAGACGCAGGACGCUACUUUGCCAUUCUGAACUUCGGAAGGUCAUAUGUUAGCGGCUCCGCACAGUAUUUGGUUGUAACAGACACUUCUGCUCCGGCCAUGCGCUUGUAUCGAGGGGCUGAUGGCCUUGGCUUUCCCUUGUUUCUCUGUGAGGUGACGGGAGCUGGUGCAAACUGGGGAGAUCCUUAUUGGCAAAUCAAGGGAGAAGGGGCAGUUGGAUGGCUCGAAGGAACCACAGGAAGACGAAUCGGCACUGACGGAGUCUUCACUCGAUGGUCCACUGUCAGACUCAACUCUACACUUAAUGUGGCAUGUGCGUGUCGCCACCAGAACCAGACGAGUGUACUUGUCAGAUCCUAUGAAUUAGAAGCGCCAGAUGUUUCAUCAGGUGCAGCGUGUGACUGGCUGGUUUUCCUGAGUCCCCCGUGCCUUCUCCUGAUUCUGCUCACGAUGGCGGUAGCCAUCCUCUGGGCACGGAGAGUCCGCCGACUCAGAGCUGCAUGAUGCAAGCCAGAAAUUAGGACAUUUGAAAUACGUGUAAAUGUGUUACAUGCAAUGUGUUACAUACGUUACAUUUUUGUAAUUACAAUUUAGUUAAAUUACCUCUUUCCCUCUCUUUCUCAUCAUAAUACUGUCAAAUAACAACCGAGAACCUAAAGUGCAAACAUAUGUUUAGCUUGAGACUAGUUUUACAAAGAUGUCAAAGGAAUGCAGGAAUGUUGCAUGAGGGUCACAGAAUCAUAAACGUCCGUUGAGUUGAAGAUCUUGAUGAAAGUUAGACAAUUAAAGCAUGUUAAUUUCUUCUGUUUCUAUACUUUUGUCUGUGGUCAAUGUUUGAACCACAAAGCUAUCAGAAGGUGAUGGCCUGUGUGGGCGUGUAAGUGCAGCUAAGAAAAGAACACAACGGAACAAUUCUCUUUGGUUUCCUGUAAACAAAUAAUAAUAGCAACACCUUCUGUGCAAACAUUUGAAUGAUAGCCUAGUUUGUGUCGGUAAAGACCAUAGCCUGAACACCCACCCACCACCUUUGUGUUCUUUCAAUAGUUUUUCAUGCUGACUGUAGGCGACUGCUAGGUCUGAGCACUUGCAAAAAAUAUGUUGGCGCCUUACAAUGCUGAGGCCCCGUCCCACACAGAUUAUAUACAAAUAGGCCCACUCACUUUUGGGACAUUACAUUUUCCCUGUCGUCAGCUGACAUAUUAUAAAUAUUCUUUCUCACCAGGUCUCACCUACUACACAGCAUUUUGACCCUUUGUCCCGCACCCCGCAUACUGAGAUAAUGUCCUUUUCAUUGUUCAUUUGUUUAUUUGUCAGAUACAAAUAUUUUAUCCGCCCGUUUCUACUAGAAUAGUGCUACGUCAACAGCAGCGACCAGGGGCACAUUCAUCCCCGGCCAAAUGUAUCAAAACGUUUAUUUAGAGUUUAUAUUUAAAAAUUCAGAUGGAAACGGUGGUGUGUUGUACACCCUAUUUUGUCGCCCAAGCAUCGCGGCAGGUGCGUUCUUCAGGGCGGGAAAUUGGUUUUAAUAGCCUAUUUUUUUAUAAACUUUUUAUUCUUAUCUUGCAUUUGUAGUUGGAUCCAUUCUGUUCACUGCCUUUUUAAUGCGGCUGGGUUGAGCUGUAUGAUGCCUGCUGCUUUGUUUAAGAACCGUUUGAUGUGCCUGUAAUGGUCAAUGCAUGUUGGGUGUCUAUCAAUAAAGAAACGUUACGUUGCAAAAUUAGCGUGCCUUUGGGAUGACAAUCAGCACUUUGAUCAGCAUAUAUUUGAUACAAAUGUUUCUUAUUCCGUUAGAUAGACAUUAUACCAAAGAUUUAGGUUACCUCUCAGCAUUAGUAACAUGUCCCACAUUGGCUCACAGAAACGUACUACUCGUCCCUCAUUUGGUCUGUUUGCAUCUGGUCGACCUAAACCUAAAUGUUGCGCUGUCACUACAGUACAGACACCGAUAAUCUGUACUGUAUUGCAGUUAUUUUAAGAUGCCAUCUGCGCCAGGGUGGGGGGAAAAGUUCAUUACAGUGCUGAAUAAAUAUGAACAAUUCCCUUGACAAUAAAUAUAUACAUAUAGCCUACCAUAUGGCUUGAAGAGACACAUUUAUGACAGGCUAACGACUUGAUAGUCUGUAAAGCAUGAAAUAAUGUAAUGCUUCUGGUA
ensembl:lncRNA